CAUGCUUACGGCCAUACCACCAUAGGCACGCCCGAUCUCGUCUGAUCUCGGAAGCUAAGCAGGGUCGGGCCUGGUUAGUACUUGGAUGGG
rnacentral:rRNA from 10 species